rnacentral:rRNA from 1 species
GGGGAAUAUUGCACAAUGGGCGAAAGCCUGAUGCAGCAACGCCGCGUGAGCGAUGAAGGCCUUCGGGUCGUAAAGCUCUGUCCUCAAGGAAGAUAAUGACGGUACUUGAGGAGGAAGCCCCGGCUAACUACGUGCCAGCAGCCGCGGUAAUACGUAGGGGGCUAGCGUUAUCCGGAAUUACUGGGCGUAAAGGGUGCGUAGGCGGCUAUGCAAGUCAGAUGUGAAAUCCCCGGGCUUAACUCGGGUGGUGCAUUUGAAACUGCGUGGCUUGAGUGCAGGAGAGGAAAGUGGAAUUCCUAGUGUAGCGGUGGAAUGCGUAGAUAUUAGGAGGAACACCAGUGGCGAAGGCGACUUUCUGGACUGUAACUGACGCUGAGGCACGAAAGCGUGGGGAGCAAAC